GCACAAGCGGUGGAGCAUGUGGUUAAUUCGAAGCAACGCGAAGAACCUUACCAGGUCUUGACAUCCCUGACAACCCGAGAGAUCGGGCGUUCCCCUUCGGGGGACAGGGUGACAGGUGGUGCAUGGUUGUCGUCAGCUCGUGUCGUGAGAUGUUGGGUUAAGUCCCGCAACGAGCGCAACCCUCGACCUUAGUUGCCAGCAUUCAGUUGGGCACUCUAAGGUGACUGCCGGCUAAAAGUCGGAGGAAGGUGGGGGAUGACGUCAAAUCAUCAUGCCCCUUAUGACCUGGGCUACACACGUGCUACAAUGGGCGGUACAAAGGGUCGCGAACCCGCGAGGGGGAGCCAAUCCCAAAAAGCCGCUCUCAGUUCGGAUUGCAGGCUGCAACUCGCCUGCAUGAAGCCGGAAUCGCUAGUAAUCGCGGAUCAGCAUGCCGCGGUCGAAUACGUUCCCGGGCCUU
rnacentral:rRNA from 1 species